AUUGAACGCUGGCGGCAGGCCUAACACAUGCAAGUCGAACGAGUGGCGGACGGGUGAGUAAUGUCUGGGAAACUGCCUGAUGGAGGGGGAUCACUACUGGAAACGGUAGCUAACACCGCAUACCAUCAGAUGUGCCCAGGUGGGACUAGCUUGUUGGCGGGGUAACGGCUCACCAAGGCGACGAACCCUAGCUGGUCGGAGAGGAUGACCAUCCACACGGGAACUGAGACACGGUCCCGACUCCUACGGGAGGCAGCAGUGGGGAAUAUUGCACAAUGGGCGCAAGCCUGAUGCAGCCAUGCCGCGUGUAUGAAGAAGGCCUUCGGGUUGUAAAGUACUUUCAGCGGGGAGGCGUUACCGGCAGAAGAAGCACCGGCUAACUCCGUGCCAGCCGCCGCGGUAAUAG
rnacentral:rRNA from 1 species